CCCUUAGAUGUUCUGGGCCGCACACGCGCCACACUGAAGGAGGCAGCGUGUACUCCUGGAUCGAAAGAUUUGGGUAACCCGCGAAUCUCCUUCGUGCUAGGGAUUGAGGUUUGCAAUUAUCCUUCAUGAACGAGGAAUUCCCAGUAAGUGCAAGUCAUAAGCUUGCGCUGACUACGUCCCUGCCCUUUGUACACACCGCCCGUCGCUACUACCGAUUGAAUGAUUUAGUGAGGACUUCGGACUGGGACCGAUGCGGCUUUCGGGCUGCGUCGGUAUUCUGGAAAGAUGUCCAAACUGUAUCAUUUAGAGGAAGUAAAANUCGUANCA
rnacentral:rRNA from 1 species